rnacentral:tRNA from 1 species
GACAAGGUGGCUGAAUGGCAAAGGCAGCAGUCUGCAAAACUGUUUUGUAUGAGUUCGAAUCUCAUCCUUGUCUC